rnacentral:misc_RNA from 1 species
GUCUUUUGGUUAUUUAUAAAGGUGUAUAUAGUUAAAUAGUUUAAAGGGGUUGUUUUUUUUGGUAAAAAAAGUUUGAGGCGCGGGACUCUUGCAUAGUAAAAUACAAAAGGCCAGCACCUCGAACAAAGAGCACAAUGGGGUGUAAGUCUAUAGAGAAAAAAGCAAAAACUUUUUUUCCUAUGAUGAUCCUUCCGCAGGUUCACCUACGGAAA